rnacentral:rRNA from 1 species
GAUGAACGCUGGCGGCGUGCUUAACACAUGCAAGUCGAACGGAAAGGCUCCUGCUUGCAGGGGCACUCGAGUGGCGAACGGGUGAGUAACACGUGGGUGAUCUGCCCUGCACUUCGGGAUAAGUCUGGGAAACUGGGUCUAAUACCGGAUAGGACCAUCGUUUAGUGUCGGUGGUGGAAAGUUUUUUCGGUGUGGGAUGAGCUCGCGGCCUAUCAGCUUGUUGGUGGGGUAAUGGCCUACCAAGGCGUCGACGGGUAGCCGGCCUGAGAGGGUGUACGGCCUCGGGAGGGCGAGAAGACGGCCCAGCCUACGACGGGAAGCAGCGGGGGGGAAUGUAUAACAAGAGGAUGAAGCCUGAAGCGACGACGCGGGGGGGGUGAAGGCCGCCGUCGGGUUAUAAACCCCUUGCCCCAAGGACGAAGCGAAAGUGACGGUACCUGGAGAAGAAGCACCGGCUAACUACGUG